UGCCAUGGGAAAUCACGAAGAUAAUGUGAAAAUCAAGGAGAUUACAUUGAGAAUAUCAAGGGAGAGUUUCAAGGGAAUGUGCAACAAGAAAAGGCUCAAAACAAGUCUAGAUUCAUCCCUCAAUUCCUUCAAGAUAUGUUGGCCGAAAUUAAGGAAUUAAAAUCUGCAGUUUUAAUGUGAAAAUCAAGAGAAAAUCAAGGGGAGGAUGUUAAGGAUAAAGCCAUGGAGAGAUUUAAGGGAGAAAAGGUCCAAAACAAGUCCAGAUUCAUUCCUAUUUUCACUCAAGAAUAUUUUGGCAGAAAAUUGUGAAUAAAAUCAGAUUAAAUCUUGGGAAAAUCAGCAAUAAUAUAUUUGGAAAGAUUAUGGACUUAUUUUGGAGGCUUUUGAUUAGCUGGAUGACUCAACAGUGCUGACAUGGCAUUCUGUGAUUGGUCGAAGCUGUGUGGCAUGACUAGAUAAUUUUUUGGGAAAUUAAAAAGAAGAUUCAUGAAGCUUGGCCGUCCCCCUAUAUAAACCCCCCUAGACAACACCACAACACCACCACAACACACCACAACAACACACCUCUCUCACUCAGAAAAUAAAUAUCAGAAAAAUUCUCUCCAUUCUCUAGUCUUCAGAAGCUCCGCGUCUCAACCAAGAAGGAGAAGAAGUCAUGCAAUACAUCAAGAUCCUAGCCACCAUCCAUCCUUGUGUCGUCCCUAGAAGAUUGCUUGCUUUCAAGGAUCUUCAAGUUCUUCGUCUCAAGGCUUGUCAUUCAUCUUUCACGGUGUGUACCCUCAAUCCCCGGUUAGAACGAUCCCUAUUUACCAUAUACUAACGAUGACAUUUUUCAGGGUUAAAUUGCGCGCUACUUUAAGCGUAUCAGAGUGAGAAUUGUGAACCUUUCCCGGAGAUAAACCUUGUGUUUUAUGCUUAUCAGCACCACCAUCAGCUGAAGCCAAUUGGGCCGCAAAGCUUGUUAUGACGUCAACACUAGAGUCCAUAAGGAAUCAGAGAGAGGAAUGGAAGGAAGAGAAGGGAAAGCGCUCACAAGAUAGAGUUUAGGGUCUGCAAUAGCAGCUUAGGGCUCUUGUCGAAUUUUGGUGGAAUUUCUCCUAAGGUGGUCACCAAGGAACCUUCAUAGGUUUUGAGAUGGAACUCUAGGACGGGUCCUGUCAUAAUUGCAGCUGCCACCAACCACAUUACCCUAGGGUUUGCUCUUAUCUACUUUUUGUUUAAUGGCACAUGAGUCACUAACAAUACAAUAUAUACUCUCUUUAGUCUUUAAUAAUACGAGCAACGAGCCUGCGUUUUUCGCGGGUGAUAUUGUAAGGUUAAUGAAAAAUGAGUCGACUAAAAAGAAUAGUGUGUUCAAGUAAAUCCAGAAUAUGUGUCUGACCCAAACUCUAGGUUACUUGCUCUAGUUGUAAUAGGGUUUGUAUUAGAGAUAAUCUCGGAGAAUCUUAGUAGAUAUCCAAUCAAUGUACGAUUAUAUUUCCAUGUACAACUCUAUCUCUAUGCUUGUAAUCCUCUAUAUAAAGAGGCCCCUAUUAUCAAUGAAAGCACGACUCAAUUCUCUCCCAA